UAGGGAAUCUUCCGCAAUGGGCGAAAGCCUGACGGAGCAACGCCGCGUGAGUGAUGAAGGUCUUCGGAUCGUAAAACUCUGGUAUUAGGGAAGAACAAAUGUGUAAGUAACUAUGCACGUCUUGACGGUACCUAAUCAGAAAGCCACGGCUAACUACGUGCCAGCAGCCGCGGUAAUACGUAGGUGGCAAGCGUUAUCCGGAAUUAUUGGGCGUAAAGCGCGCGUAGGCGGUUUUUUAAGUCUGAUGUGAAAGCCCACGGCUCAACCGUGGAGGGUCAUUGGAAGCUGGAAAACUUGAGUGCAGAAGAGGAAAGUGGAAUUCCAUGUGUAGCGGUGAAAUGCGCAGAGAUAUGGAGGAACACCAGUGGCGAAGGCGACUUUCUGGUCUGUAACUGACGCUGAUGUGCGAAGGCGUGGGGAUCAAACAGG
rnacentral:rRNA from 1 species